CCUACGGGUGGCUGCAGUCGAGAAUCUUCGGCAAUGGGCGAAAGCCUGACCGAGCGACGCCGCGUGCGGGAUGAAGGUCUUCGGAUUGUAAACCGCUGUCGGGAGGGAUGAAGUGCAUGGGAGCAAUCUCCUGUGUUUGACAGAGCUCCGGAGGAAGCACGGGCUAAGUUCGUGCCAGCAGCCGCGGUAAUACGAACUGUGCGAACGUUAUUCGGAAUCACUGGGCUUAAAGGGUGCGUAGGCGGCGAUCCAAGUCAGGUGUGAAAGCUUCCGGCUCAACCGGAAAAUGGCGCUUGAAACUGGAUUGCUCGAGCGAGAUAGGGGUGUGCGGAACUUCUGGUGGAGCGGUGAAAUGUGUAGAGAUCAGAAGGAACGCCGGCGGCGAAAGCGGCACACUGGGUCUUGUCUGACGCUGAGGCACGAAAGCCAGGGGAGCGAACGGGAUUAGAUACCCUUGUAGUC
rnacentral:rRNA from 1 species